rnacentral:rRNA from 1 species
AUUGAACGCUGGCGGCAUGCCUAACACAUGCAAGUCGAGCGAGAGGCGGACGGGUGAGUAAGGUAUUGAGACCUGCCUGAUCGAGGGGGAUAAGUGCUGGAAACGGUGGCUAAUACCGCUUAAUGCCCGAUCGCCGAUGGGGGAUUAGCUAGGAGCGGGGGUAAAGGCUCACCGAGGCGACGAUCCCUAGCUGGCCUGAGAGGAUGAUCAGCCACACUGGGACUGAGACACGGCCCAGACUCCUACGGGAGGCAGCAGUGGGGAAUAUUGGGCAAUGGGCGCAAGUCUGAUGCAGCCAUGCCGCGUGUGUGAAGAAGGUCUUCGGGUUGUAAAGCACUUUCAGCGGGGAGGCGGUACCCGCCGAGGAAGCACCGGCUAACUCCGUGCCAGCAGCCGCGGUAAUAC